GAAUUUUGGACAAUGGGCGAAAGCCUGAUCCAGCAAUGCCGCGUGCAGGAUGAAGGCCUUCGGGUUGUUAACUGCUUUUGUACGGAACGAAAAGCUUUGGGUUAAUACCCUGGAGUCAUGACGGUACCGUACGACUAAGCACCGGCUCACUACGUGCCAGCAGCCGGGGUCAUCCGUAGGGUGCAAGCGUUAAUCGGAAUUACUGGGCGUAAAGCAUGCGCAGGCGGUUUUGUAAGACAGAGGUGAAAGCCCCGGGCUCAACCUGGGAACUGCCUUUGUGACUGCAAGGCUAGAGUACGGCAGAGGGGGGUGGAAUUCCGCGUGUAGCAGUGAAAUGCGUAGAUAUGCGGAGGAACACCGAUGGCGAAGGCGCCCUUCCCGCUUCAACAGACGCUAAGGUACGGAAGCUUAGGUAGCAAACG
rnacentral:rRNA from 1 species